rnacentral:rRNA from 1 species
AUUGAACGCUGGCGGCAUGCCUUACACAUGCCAGUCGAACGGUAACGGGCCUUCGGGUGCCGACGAGUGGCGCACGGGUGAGUAAUACAUCGGAACGUGCCCGAUCGUGGGGGAUAACGAGGCGAAAGCUUUGCUAAUACCGCAUACGAUCUACGGAUGAAAGCAGGGGACCGCAAGGCCUUGCGCGGACGGAGCGGCCGAUGGCAGAUUAGGUAGUUGGUGGGAUAAAAGCUUACCAAGCCGACGAUCUGUAGCUGGUCUGAGAGGAUGAUCAGCCACACUGGGACUGAGACACGGCCCAGACUCCUACGGGAGGCAGCAGUGGGGAAUUUUGGACAAUGGGCGCAAGCCUGAUCCAGCCAUGCCGCGUGCAGGAUGAAGGCCUUCGGGUUGUAAACUGCUUUUGUACGGAACGAAAAGCAUUCUUUUAAUACAGGAGGGUCAUGACGGUACCGUAAGAAUAAGCACCGGCUAACUACGUG